rnacentral:rRNA from 1 species
CAGGGAAUCGUGCGCAAUGGACGAAAGUCUGACGCCGCAAUGCCGCGUGGAGGAUGAAGGCCUUAGGGUCGUAAACUCCUUUUGCCAAACAGGAGAUGGUUUGGAGAAUAAGUGACUGCUAACUCUGUGCCAGCAGCCGCGGUAAUACAGAGGUCACAAGCGUUAUCCGGAUUUAUUGGGCGUAAAGCGUUUCGUAGGUGGGUUUAUAAGUUAUUUUUCAAAUACCGAGGCUCAACCUCGGGAAGGGAGAUAAUACUGUAAGUCUUGAUUUUUGGUGGGGUAUCUGGAACUGAUGGUGUAGUAGUGAAAUACGUUGAUAUCAUCAGGAACUCCAAGGGCGAAGGCAGGAUACUAACCAAUUAAUGACACUGAGGAACGACAGCUAGGGGAGCGAAAGGG